rnacentral:rRNA from 1 species
GGUAAAUCUCGUGCCAGCCACCGCGGUCAUACAAGAAACCCAAAUUAAUAGACAUCCGGCGUAAAGAGUGGCCACAUGUUAUCCACACUAACUAAGAUCAAAGCAAAGCUAAGCUGUCAUAAGCCCAAGACUCACCUAAGCCCAACCUAAAAACCAUCUUAGUUCCCACGACUAAUUUAAACCCACGAAAGCCAGGACACAAACUGGGAUUAGAUACCCCACUAUGCCUGGCCUUAAAUCUUGAUACCCCCCCCCAUUUACCAAUAUAUCCGCCCGAGAACUACGAGCACAAACGCUUAAAACUCUAAGGACUUGGCGGUGCCCCAAACCCACCUAGAGGAGCCUGUUCUAUAAUCGAUAAUCCACGAUUCACCCAACCAUCCUUUGCCAACACAGCCUACAUACCGCCGUCGCCAGCUCACCUCCAAUGAAAGAGCAACAGUGAGCCCAACAGUCCCCACUAAUAAGACAGGUCAAGGUAUAGCCUAUGGGAUGGAAGAAAUGGGCUACAUUUUCUAAUAUAGAAUAAACGGAAAAGGACAUGAAAACCGGUCCUAAGAAGGAGGAUUUAGCAGUAAGAUGAGAUCAUCCCCAGCUCACCUUAAGACGGCCCUGGGGCACGUACAUACCGCCCGUCACCCUCUUCAAUAAGCCACUAACACCAAUAAAUAAUACCCGCCCCGGCUAAAGACGAGGUAAGUCGUAACAAGGUAAGCAUACUGGA